rnacentral:rRNA from 1 species
AUGGCCGAGCCUCUGAUAACCAACGGCAAUGGAGCUGCUGAAGGGGGUGCUGCGGGCUCUGCGUUUGCGUCGGUGAAGGUGCCGCCACCGUCGCCGCCGAGGAGGCUGCAGAGGUUCGACUCCCUGCAUAUGGAGGCCGGGAAGAUUCCUGGCGGCCACAGCUAUGCGGCCAAGCAGGUUGGCUGGGCGACGACACUGCACUUGGCCUUCCAGAGCCUAGGUGUGGUUUAUGGGGACAUGGGAACUUCACCCCUCUAUGUGUUCUCCAGCACCUUUACUGGUGGGAUCAAGGACACAGAUGACCUCCUUGGUGUCAUGUCCCUGAUUAUCUAUACUGUGCUUCUCCUUCCAUUGAUGAAAUACUGCUUCAUUGUCUUGAGAGCUAAUGACAACGGCGAUGGCGGAACAUUUGCACUUUAUUCCUUGAUAUCUCGGUAUGCUAGGAUUAGCUUGAUACCAAACCAGCAGGCUGAAGAUGCAACAGUCUCUCACUACAAGUUAGAGUCCCCCACGAAUCGUGUCAAGCGGGCUCAUUGGAUUAAGGAAAAGAUGGAAAACAGCCCGAAAUUUAAGGUCAUACUUUUCCUAGUGACAAUUCUAGCAACAUCAAUGGUUAUUGGUGACGGUGUGCUCACUCCAUGUAUUUCAGUGCUUAGUGCAGUUACGGGAAUCAAGCAAUCAGCAAAGUCGUUAACUCAAGGACAAAUUGCUGGCAUCGCAAUCGGCAUUCUGAUCGUCCUCUUUCUUGUCCAGCGCUUUGGCACAGACAAAGUUGGUUACACAUUUGGCCCAGUAAUCUUUAUAUGGUUCAUCUUAAUUGCCGGCAUUGGGAUUUAUAAUUUGAUCAAACAUGAUACUGGAAUUCUGAAAGCAUUCAACCCACAAUACAUAGUGGAAUAUUUCCAAAGAAAUGGGAAGGACGGCUGGAUUUCGCUUGGAGGUGUUAUCUUAUGCAUUACAGGAACCGAAGCAAUGUUUGCUGACCUUGGUCACUUCAAUGUGAGAGCAGUUCAGAUUGGCUUUUCUGCAGUUCUGCUCCCAUCAGUAUUGCUUGCUUACAUGGGUCAGGCUGCAUAUCUUCGCAUCCACCCUGAAGAUGUUGCAGAUACAUUCUACAAAUCAAUCCCAGGUCCAUUAUAUUGGCCAACAUUUGUGGUGGCCGUGGCUGCUGCUAUAAUUGCAAGCCAAGCUAUGAUUUCUGGUGCCUUUGCAAUCAUUGCUCAGUCCCAAGUUCUUGGUUGCUUUCCACGGGUUCGUGUCACUCACACCUCAAAAAAGUAUCAUGGGCAGGUCUACAUCCCUGAGAUCAACUAUGCAUUAAUGAUCUUAUGUGUAGCUGUGACAGCUAUUUUCCAAACUACAGACAAGAUCGGCAAUGCAUAUGGUAUUGCUGUCGUCUUUGUGAUGUUCAUAACAACACUUCUAGUCACACUGGUAAUGGCCAUGAUAUGGAAGACAAGUCUGCUGUGGAUUGCACUCUUUCCAAUAAUAUUUGGCAGCGCAGAGCUCCUGUACUUAUCCUCAGCAUUCUACAAAUUUGUAGAAGGUGGCUACUUGCCACUAGGUUUUGCAGCAAUUUUGAUGCUUAUAAUGGGCACAUGGCACUAUGUUCAUGUUCAUCGGUACAAAUACGAGCUCAAGAACAAAGUGUCAAACAACUAUGUGGCCGAGUUGGCAACAAGGCGAAAUCUUGCUAGGCUGCCAGGAAUAGGCGUUCUGUACUCUGAGCUUGUGCAAGGAAUCCCACCCAUACUGCCCCAUUUGGUAGAAAAAGUACCUUCCAUCCAUUCAGUUCUUGUGAUUAUCUCAAUAAAGUUCUUACCAAUCAGCAAUAUAGAAACAAAUGAGAGGUUCCUCUUCCGAUACGUGGAGCCAAGAGAAUACAGGGUAUUCCGAUGUGUGGUGCGCUAUGGUUACAACAAUAAAGUAGAAGAUCCAAGAGAGUUCGAGAACUUGCUUAUUGGGAACUUGAAGCAAUUCAUCCAUCAAGAAUCACUCUACAGCGAAAGUAGUCAUUCCCUUGAAGGAGAAGAUAAUGCAUUCGAAGAAUCAGGAGAUGCAAUGGAGCCUUCUGUUGAAGUUCAAGACGCAAGGUUGCCGAAAAGGUUUUUAGAUGGAAUCACUGCUAGCCCAGUGAACGGGUUAAUGGAUGAGAUAGAGUUUAUUCAGAGAGGGAUGGAUGAUGGUGUUGUCCAUCUGCUGGGAGAAACUAACGUGGUGGCGGAGCAAGAUGCCGGUUUGGUGAAGAAAAUAAUAGUUGACUACGCCUACAAUUUCAUGAGGAAGAACUUCAGGCAACCAGAGAAGAUCACAUGUGUUCCACAUAACAGGCUGCUGCGGGUGGGAAUGACAUAUGAGAUCUAG